UAGAGGUAGAUGGGUCCAGGAUAAAGCCUAGGCCUAUAUAAAUAAGCGAGACAGGGCAGCGUGGACGUCAGAGACAGGCCUGCUUCCCAGCCUACCCUGAGCCUGCUGUCUCAAGCACUCUCCGUCACCCACUCCGUCACCCUCUGCAUCAAGCGCCAUCCUCUCCGUUACUCUCUGCGUUAUCCGCCGUGACGUUCAGUGAGUCAUCCACAGCGUCAUCUACUUUGAUUUACAGUGCGUCAUCCACUGCGUCACCCAUUGCGUCGUCCACUGCUCCACUUCGCUACGGCUAUGCAUUUUAACGGAGUCUUGAUCCUGGCGGUAGGAGCGCUGCUACUGCUGCUGCAGGAGGCCACAGCGGCGGAGGACGGCACAGCCUCCAGGAAAGCUCACCGCCAGCAACGUCUCCGAGAGCCUCAACAGCAUCGCCGACAGCAUCGCCGACAGCAUCGACAAACCGUUUGAAGGGAUCGUCCUCCCGGACAACGCUCUCAGCAUCGGCUUUGAGUCCAUCGGCAUUUUCUUGUUGCUGGCCGGCGUGGUUGCCUUCACCGCUGUCUUCGUGUUGGGUGUUGACAAGACCGCUGCUCAGGACUUCCUCUCCUCCGCUUCGACAGCAUACCUCACCCCCAGCACCGGGUAUGCCUCCUCCUCUAGCAGGUAUGCCCAGCAGGAGACAUACAACGUCCACAGGAACAUUGACAGGGCAGCAUCGAAGUACCAGUGAGAUCGACCCGUCACCCGGGGACCCAGAGGCGGAGCGCUCCUGAAGGGGACGUGAAGAAGUGCCUCAACUUCCAGAUGCUAUUAGAUCGUCCACGCUUGGAGACCCUGAGGGCUUCUGUGAGUUAGGAAGACACCCAUCGUUCGGGACCCUGAAGGCGACCUGUUAUUGUGACGACAACCUUCCACUCAGGAUUUUCCCUAAGGACGUCCUUGUGAUGCUGAGCUCGACCUCUCCGACCUUCACACUUGAGAGUGACCUAAAUCUUCACGUACUUCUGGAAUUUUCACACUUAAGAGUGACCUAAACACUCUUUGCUCAUCUGUCUCCCUUAUUGAAGUUGAUUAACUUAUUAAGUAGUAAAGUGUAAAUAAAGUACUGAAUAAUAACGAUGUUUUGAUACCUAAUAAAAGCAGCAGAAGUCUAAUUAUUAAUUGAUUUUGAGGUCAUAAAGGCUUGUUUUGCGUGCUUCCUGUCACGCUCGAUUCUAUUUGGGUGAGACUACGAGCAUUGCCGGUAUGUAAUUAUAUUUCAGGAGAAGCGCUAAAUCUGUACAGGGUCAUACAGAGGUCUGAGGAUGGGAGGCAUUCAGGUUUGAUCCGGGGAAGGGGAGGUAAAAAUAAAGUUCAAUUCCAUGGAUCAACAGCCCCUCACCAAUACCAAGGAACUUCUCAUGAGGGCGGGGGAGGGGUAUGUGUGUUCUGUCUGUCUCUCUGUCACAGAAAUAUAGAGACAAUAGUAAUGAAAGAUGGACUAAAUUCUCUCGAUGGCAUUAGGAUUAGAAUAUGGACAGCUAUGGGAGUUGGACGAGUGCGGGAGUGAACUGGACGAGUGUCGGAGUUGGAGGGGUCUUAGAGUGAGCUGAAGGGGUCUUGGAGUGAGUUGAAGGAGUGUUUGGAGUAAG